rnacentral:misc_RNA from 1 species
UCUCCGUAGGUGAACCUGCGGAGGGAUCAUUAACAGUAACCUGACCCGGCGCGGACUCCGGUCCCCGGGGAAAGUCACAAACCCUUUGUUGUCCGACUCUGUUGCCUCGGGGGUGACCCUGCCUUCGGGCUCGGCCCCCCCGCUGGACCAAAUCAAACUCUUGCGUAUCUAUGCAGUCUGAGUGAUUUUACAAAUAAAUCAAAACUUUCAACAACGGAUCUCUUGGUUCUG